rnacentral:rRNA from 1 species
AGAGUUUGAUCAUGGCUCAGGAUGAACGCUGGCGGCGUGCCUAAUACAUGCAAGUCGAACGGAGCAGCAAUGCUUAGUGGCGACCGGGUGAGUAACACGUAGCUAACCUACCCCUCAGCGGGGGAUAACAGGCCGAAAGGCGUGCUAAUACCGCAUGACUUCACGUGGCUGAGACAAAUGUGAAGAAACUCACGGGGUUG